rnacentral:rRNA from 1 species
UGUCGCUGACCUUUGAAGGUCGGACACGCCCGAGCGCUCUCGCCACAAUCCAUCUCACCCCUUUGUGCAUCACCGCGUGGGUCCCCCUUUGCGGGGAGGGCUCGCGUUUUCACACAAAACUUGAUACAGUCUAGAAUGUUUAUUUUUGCGGUAACACGCAAUCAAUACAACUUUCAACAACGGAUCUCUUGGCUCUCGCAUCGAUGAAGAACGCAGCGAAAUGCGAUACGUAAUGUGAAUUGCAGAAUUCAGUGAAUCAUCGAAUCUUUGAACGCACCUUGCGCCCCUUGGCAUUCCGAGGGGCACACCCGUUUGAGUGUCGUGAAAUUCUCAAAAUCCUUUUCUUUGAUCGGAAUAGGACUUUUGGACUUGGAGGUUCAAUGCUCGCUUUCGCCUUUGAAAGCGAGCUCCUCUCAAAUGAAUCAGUGGGGUCCGCUUUGCUGGUCCUUGACGUGAUAAGAUGCUUCUACGUUUUGGAUUUGGCAUUGUUUUCUCCGCUCCUAACUGUCCCCAUGGGACAACGAUGGUGCUUCGGUCGUCGCCAUCUAUGGGGGGAGGCUGAACCCACAAAGAACCUUGACCUCAAAUCGGGUGAGACUACCCGCUGAGCUUAUACAUAC